GACAGAGGCCUCAAGCGUUAGGCGGAAUCACUGGGCUUAAAGCGUGUGUAGGCGGAUCGUUAAGUGUCUUGUGAAAUCCCACGGCUCAACCGUGGAACUGCUGGGUAUACUGCCUGUCUUGAGCCAGCCAGGGGCAGUCGGAACAGACGGUGGAGCGGUGAAAUGCGUAGAUAUCGUCUGGAACGCCAAAGGUGAAAACAGACUGCUGGGGCUGUGCUGACGCUGAGACACGAAAGCCAGGGGAGCGAACGGG
rnacentral:rRNA from 1 species